AAUACAUGUUUUUGGCGGAAGGUUUUUAUUUUGCCGCAUAAAUUUUUGGUAAAGGAUAACCCUAAGCCGCUUUCCCUACUCCACUUCCACAAGCUACGAUUCUCCUUCUUUCCCUUCCAUGCUUGACUCCAACUCCGAGCCUCGCCGAGUAGAAACAGGUCAAUCAGACACAACUGUGAUUAUCUUCUCUUCGGGAACCACCGGACGUGUCAAAGGCGUGUUGUUAACUCAUUGAUUUUUCCUUUCUCUUUUGAUGAUUCUGAUUGAGGGGUUGAAAACCUGUUCUGGGUGCUGGGAAAACAAAUUUAAGCUUUCUAUUUCCCCUUGGUGGUUUUCAAGUGUUGAGAUUGAUGGGUAAUCUCUUUUGUUUGUGUGCUGUUUGAAUUUUCUGGUUGCUUUGUGUGAGUAUAAGAGGAAACUAAAAUACAUCUCUCAGUAUGGAAGCCCAUUUCUCAUUACGCUUCUCUGAUCUUGGACAAGAAGGGUUGGAAGAAGAAAGCUGAGUCCAUGGCUGAUAUUAAAAGAAACCCGUCAAUGCUUUGGAAGCUACAAGAAAACAAGUUGAGGGAAGCUCUUGAAGAAGCUUUAGAAGAUGGAUUACUCGCCAAAUCACAGGACAUGGAGCCUGACAGUGUUAAAAACCAUGAUGAUAGCCUUGGGAGAUCCAGAUCGCUGGCCAGGAUGAAUGCUCAGCACGAGUUCCUUCAUUCCACUGCUCUUGCAGCUGAGCGCACGUUUGAUUUCGAGGAAGAAAUUCUUAGCCUUCAAGAAGCAUUUUCCAUGUUCUCUCACUAUGUAUCCCAAGUAUGUGUCCUCAAAGAAAGUUGAUCAAUUGAGGUAUGAGGAAUAUUCCCAUCUCCUGCCCAAGGUAUGCCUUGAUUAUUGUGGGUUCGAUCUCUUCUCUUUUAUUCACACUAUUCAUUAUUUGGAAUCUUGUACAUUUAGCUUGUCUGAGAUAACUCCAAAUUUGAGUAACCAUGCACUGUAUGGCGGUGCUGAGAAAGGAACUGUUGAGCAUGAUAUAAAGGCCAUAAUUAUGGACUAUAUAAAUAUCCCUGAGAGUAGUAGAGGUUCAGAUUUUAAAUUGCUCGCUGAAUCCUACCCUUUCCAAAAGAACAAAAAGUUGUUGACUAUGUUCGACCAUGAUAGUCAGUUUGUUAAUCAGGAUUGAAUGAUGUGUUUGCUGAGUUAAUUUAUUUUGAUAUUUGUAUUUCGUUUACUCUUAUUGAUUUUUAUGCCUUUGUACUUUUUUCUAGACUUGUGAAGAGAAAUUGCUCAAUAGAGGCCAUUGAUCCAAAAUAGAUGAGGAAUUCAAUUGUUGAGGCGAUGCAGAUUAUCUAAGAUAUCUUGGAAUGCAAGAAUUUGAUCGAGCUAUGCAGCAUCUAGAAGAGAAAUAUGGUUUCAUGACUUAUUAGCACCAAUAUAUUUCACGUGAAAUGAAGGUGACAGAGUUAUAAUUUUCAAAAGAGAAAACCUGGUCGUUGUCUUCAAUUUUCAAUGGAACAGUUAUUCAGUUACAAGGUUGGCUGCUUAAAGCCAGGGAAAUAUAAGGAAUAUGUUUAACCUUGUCUGGGUGGAUUGUGCUUUUCCUUUUUUCAAAUUGUCUUGGAUUCAGAUGAUACCUUGUUUGGUGGUUUCAAUAGGCUCAAUCAUACUGCUGAGUACUUUACCUUUGAAGGAUGGUAUGAUGACCGGCCUCGAUCUUUUCUCUUUUAUGCGCCUUCUAGAACAGCGGGGUGUAUGCCCUUAUGGGUAAAGAGGAAUCAGAGCCAAUUAAGAUGUCGGUUGGAGUUGAGUCAGAGCCAAUUGAGCUGUCAGUUGAAGUUGAACCAAAGCCAAUUCAACAGUCAAUUGAAGAUGAAUCAAAGACAAUUCAAGAGUCAGUUGAAGCUGAACCACAAUGACAAGUUUCUGGGAAGAAUAUAUCUAUUUCAUAAUGACAUGGAUGCAAUCAAGUCAAACCUAGAAACCAACUUAUAUGGUGAUUAGAGCAGGCUCUGAAACUGCAAGGCUAAACUCAACCAGAAUAUGUGGAGCCCUUAUGUUAACAUUAAUCUUUAGUGGGGCAGCAAACCAACGUUGAAGUGUUUGUACACGUGGCUUGCUAGGUAAAUUAUGUAUAGCACGUCCAGCUUUUUGUUUUUACUUGGGGUUUUAAUAUGCAGAAGUUGCAUGGCGUGUUAUUACCACCAUCAGUAUAUUUUUUAUUUCAAUUAUUGUUUUACUUUAUUUUUAUACUUAUAUUUGUUCUUAAUUAUUUAA